AUUGAACGCUGGCGGCAGGCCUAACACAUGCAAGUCGAGCGGAUGAAGGGAGCUUGCUCCUGGAUUCAGCGGCGGACGGGUGAGUAAUGCCUAGGAAUCUGCCUGGUAGUGGGGGAUAACGUCCGGAAACGGGCGCUAAUACCGCAUACGUCCUGAGGGAGAAAGUGGGGGAUCUUCGGACCUCACGCUAUCAGAUGAGCCUAGGUCGGAUUGGCUAGUCGGUGGGGUAAAGGCCUACCAAGGCGACGAUCCGUAACUGGUCUGAGAGGAUGAUCAGUCACACUGGAACUGAGACACGGUCCAGACUCCUACGGGAGGCAGCAGUGGGGAAUAUUGGACAAUGGGCGAAAGCCUGAUCCAGCCAUGCCGCGUGUGUGAAGAAGGUCUUCGGAUUGUAAAGCACUUUAAGUUGGGAGGAAGGGCAGUAAGUUAAUACCUUGCUGUUUUGACGUUACCAACAGAAUAAGCACCGGCUAACUUCGUG
rnacentral:rRNA from 1 species